AAUUGAACGCUGGCGGAAUGCUUUCCUUUUGCAAGUCGAACGGUAGAGGGGGCAACCCCUUGAGAGUGGCGAACGGGUGAGUAAUGUAUCGAAACGUGCCCAGUCGUGGGGGAUAACGUAGUGAAAAUUACGCUAAUACCGCAUACAAUCUAUGGAUGAAAGCGGGGGAUCGCAAGACCUCGCGCGAUUGGAGCGGCCGAUAUCAAAUUAGGUAGUUGGUGGGGUAAAGGCCUACCAAGCCAACGAUCUGUAGCUGGUCUGAGAGGACAACCAGCCACACUGGAACUGAAACACGGUCCAAACUCCUACGGGAGGCAGCAGUGGGGAAUUUUGGACAAUGGACGCAAGUCUGAUCCAGCCAUUCCGCGUGCAGGACGAAGGCCUUCGGGUUGUAAACUGCUUUUGUACGGAACGAAAAAGCUCUUACUAAUACUAGGAGUCCAUGACGGUACCGUAAGAAUAAGCACCGGCUAACUACGUG
rnacentral:rRNA from 1 species